UCUUUAUGAUGUUUUAACUCGAAUAUUUGACUGCUUUUUCUUCAAUUUUCAAAUUGUUUUGUUAUAAUUCUGUGUCAGACUUUUUUGCAUUUGUAAUUUUGAUCAUCAUUAAUUAAGAAACUUUUUUAGUUUGUGUUAAAAUUACUUGAUAUAUAGUUGUUAUGAAAGGGGGUAAAGUCUUAGAGUCAGAGGUGUAUGAAUUAUAAGACUGCAGACUAUGCAGUGUUAAUUUUCAUUGUUGAAGGCUAUUGGUUGCCUAUAAUUGCUUACAUCCAUUUCAUUUUAACUUUGGUGGAUAUUUGUUUUUCAUUGGCAAUGAAACCAUAUUUUAACUUUUAAAUUUAUCUGUUACUAGCAGUAUUCCAGAGAUUAUGUAUACAUGUAUAUAGAUA
rnacentral:lncRNA from 1 species